rnacentral:tRNA from 1 species
UAGACUGAGGCCAAAUAAGAGGCAUUUGAUUGUUAAUCAAAAAAUUGUGAGUAUCACCAGCCUAG